AAAAAGAUAAACUCUGGGUUUCCGUGUCCAACUUUGAUUGUCCGUCUUAUAUGAAAUUUUUUUAUAAUUCGUAUUUUCAUUGUUGUUAGAUGAUAAAACAUGAUUAAUAUUUUAUGCGUCACUUGUUUUUUUAAUUUUUUCAUAAUUUUUUCAAAUAAGACGGACGGUCAAACGUUGGACACGGAAACCAGGGUU
rnacentral:pre_miRNA from 1 species